rnacentral:tRNA from 1 species
GCCUCUGUAGCUCAGUGGUAGAGCGUUCGACUUGUAAUCGAAAGGUCGAGGGUUCAAUCCCCUCCAGAGGCU